rnacentral:rRNA from 1 species
UGAACGCUGGCGGCGUGCCUAAUACAUGCAAGUCGAGCGAACAGACGAGGAGCUUGCUCCUCUGACGUUAGCGGCGGACGGGUGAGUAACACGUGGAUAACCUACCUAUAAGACUGGGAUAACUUCGGGAAACCGGAGCUAAUACCGGAUAAUAUAUUGAACCGCAUGGUUCAAUAGUGAAAGACGGUUUUGCUGUCACUUAUAGAUGGAUCCGCGCCGCAUUAGCUAGUUGGUAAGGUAACGGCUUACCAAGGCAACGAUGCGUAGCCGACCUGAGAGGGUGAUCGGCCACACUGGAACUGAGACACGGUCCAGACUCCUACGGGAGGCAGCAGUAGGGAAUCUUCCGCAAUGGGCGAAAGCCUGACGGAGCAACGCCGCGUGAAUGAUGAAGGUCUUCGGAUCGUAAAACUCUGUUAUUAGGGAAGAACAAAUGUGUAAGUAACUAUGCACGUCUUGACGGUACCUAAUCAGAAAGCCACGGCUAACUACGUG